CAGUCGUGAGGAAGGCGGCGUCGUUAAUAGCGGCGUUGUUUGACGUUAGCGACAGAAGAAAGCACCGGCUAACUCCGUGCCAGCAGCCGCGGUAAUACGGAGGUGCGAGCGUUAAUCGGAAUUACUGGGCGUAAAGCGCAUGCAGGUGGUUUGUUAAGUCAGAUGUGAAAGACCCGGGGCGUCAACCUCGGAAUUGCAUUUGUAAACUAGGCAGACUAGAGUACUGUAGAGGGGGGUAGGAAUUUCAGGUGUAGCGGUGAAAUGCGUAGAGAUCUGAAGGAAUACCGGUGGCGAAGGCGGCCCCCUCGGACAGAUACUGACACUCAGAUGCGAAAGCGUGGGGAGCAAACAGGAUUAGAUACCCUGGUAG
rnacentral:rRNA from 1 species